rnacentral:rRNA from 1 species
UACGGAGGGGGCGAGCGUUGUUCGGAAUUACUGGGCGUAAAGGGCGCGUAGGCGGCCCAUCAAGUUAGGCGUGAAAGCCCCGGGCUCAACCUGGGAAUUGCGUUUAAGACUGGUGAGCUAGAGUACGAGAGAGGAAAGUGGAAUUCCUAGUGUAGAGGUGAAAUUCGUAGAUAUUAGGAAGAACACCGGUGGCGAAGGCAAUCUCCUGGGCCUGCACUGACGCUCAUGCACGAAAGCGUGGGGAGCAAACAGGAUUAGAUACCCC